rnacentral:rRNA from 1 species
GGCAGCAGUGGGGAAUAUUGCACAAUGGGCGCAAGCCUGAUGCAGCCAUGCCGCGUGUGUGAAGAAGGCCUUCGGGUUGUAAAGCACUUUCAGCGAGGAGGAAGGUGGUGAACUUAAUACGUUCAUCAAUUGACGUUACUCGCAGAAGAAGCACCGGCUAACUCCGUGCCAGCAGCCGCGGUAAUACGGAGGGUGCAAGCGUUAAUCGGAAUUACUGGGCGUA